UACGUAGGGUGCGAGCGUUGUCCGGAUUUAUUGGGCGUAAAGAGCGUGUAGGCGGCUAGGUAGGUCCGUUGUGAAAACUCGAGGCUCAACCUCGAGACGCCGGUGGAAACCAUCUAGCUAGAGUCCGGAAGAGGAGAGUGGAAUUCCUGGUGUAGCGGUGAAAUGCGCAGAUAUCAGGAAGAACACCCGUGGCGAAGGCGGCUCUCUGGGACGUGACUGACGCUGAGACGCGAAAGCGUGGGGAGCGAACAGG
rnacentral:rRNA from 1 species